rnacentral:other from 1 species
UAAAUUCUGAGAUACUCGUUAAGCUCUUAUUUUGAACCUACAUUUAUUUUUUUGGAGUUCAGUAUUUAGAUGAAGAAAUAUACCUACAAAUGAGUCCCUUGUUGGGUUUUGAAGGCGAUUGAGGCAUCUGUGAGGACACCCACCUAUCUGGAGAUAGGCGUCAAAAUCAGAGUACCGAUAUUUCGGAUUUUUA